AGAGUUUGAUCCUGGCUCAGAGUGAACGCUGGCGGCGUGGAUUAGGCAUGCAAGUCGAGCGAUCCUUGUUGGACUUUUUAUUGAAGUGCUUGCACGGAUAUAAAAAGACUGACGCGGGAUAGCGGCAAACGGGUGAGGAACACGUGAGAAAUUUUCCCUAAAGUCGAACAUAGCUUCGUGAAAACGAAGGUAAUAUUCGAUAUGGUGUUUUGAUCGCAUGAUCAAAAUAUUAAAGGUGGGGACCCUUCGGGGCCUGCCGCUUUUGGAUGAUCUCGCGACCUAUCAGCUUGUUGGUGGGGUAACGGCCUACCAAGGCAUUUGACGGGUAGCUGGUCUGAGAGGAUGGUCAGCCACACUGGGACUGAGACACUGCCCAGACUCCUACGGGAGGCUGCAGUCGAGAAUCUUUAGCAAUGGACGAAAGUCUGACUAUGCGACGCCGCGUGCAGGAUGAAGGUUUUCGGAUCGUAAACUGCUUUUGUCAGGAAAGAAAAUUUUAGUGUUAAUAGCGCUAAAACUGACGGUACCUGACGAAUAAGCCACGGCCAACUCCGUGCCAGCAGCCGCGGUAAUACGGAGGUGGCGAGCGUUACUCGGAAUUAUUGGGUGUAAAGGGUAAGUAGGCGGUCCAUUAAGUGAGGGGUGAAAUCUUCCGACUCAAUCGGAAAAUUGCCUUUCAAACUAAUAGACUUGAGACUGGAAGAGGGAAACGGAAUUAGCAGUGUAAGGGUGAAAUCUGUAGAUAUUGCUAAGAACACCAGCGGCGAAGGCGGUUUCCUGGUCCAAGUCUGACGCUAAAUUACGAAAGCUAGGGUAGCAAACAGAAUUAGAUACUCUGGUAGUCCUAGCUGUAAACGAUGAGCACUAGGUGUUGGUCCCUCGGGAUCAGUGCCGCAGCUAACGCAUUAAGUGCUCCACCUGGGGACUACGGCCGCAAGGCUAAAACUCAAAGGAAUUGACGGGGACCCGCACAAGCGGUGGAACAUGUGGUUUAAUUCGAUGCUACGCGAAGAACCUCACCAAGGCUUGACUUGCUCGUCGUAUUUCCUUGAAAGGGGAAAGUCGGUUAGGCCGGACGAUGCACAGGUGCUGCAUGGCUGUCGUCAGCUCGUGUCGUGAGAUGUUGGGUUAAGUCCCGCAACGAGCGCAACCAUUGCCCCAUGUUGCUAAUACAUUAUCGACCUUCGGGUCUCGAUGUAUGCACUCUUGGGGGACUGCCUGGGAUAACCAGGAGGAAGGUGGAGAUGACGUCAAGUCAGUACGGCCCUUAUGCCUUGGGCUACACACGUGUUACAAUGGACGGUACAAAGGGUUGCCAACCCGUGAGGGGGAGCUAAUCUCAAAAAGCCGUCCCCAGUUCGGAUUGGAGUCUGCAACUCGACUCCAUGAAGCCGGAAUCGCUAGUAAUGGGAGAUCAGCUCGCUCCCGUGAAUACGUUCCCGGGUCUUGUACACACCGCCCGUCAAGCGAUGAAAGCCGGGGGUACCCGAAGUCCUAUGUAGAUAGGCCGAAGGUAAAAUCGGUGAUUGGCGCUAAGUCGUAACAAGGUAACC
rnacentral:rRNA from 1 species